CGCGCGUAAACCACCGGCACGCUUUUCACGCGCACGUUCCUUACGUCGUUCUUUCUGUGUCACGUGGUCACUUGACUUCAUUCAUGGAGACAGGUCCUUUUAUACUACGAGCGUGUAUGCGUUCUCCAUAAAAAUGCACGCGGUGUAAUGAACGCUUCUACGAAUCGGCCGCAGCCAACCAAAACGUAAUCGAUUCGAGGAAAACUGAAUUUUAUAAGCUACACGUAACCGAAAAAUCAACACGUGUUUUAUUCCCUUGCUGGUUUCUUAUUCAACAUGCACUCGUGAUUCAACUUUAACCAAUAACUGCCUGACAAGAAAACGGACGGUCGAUGCACUUUCAAUCGCAGUUCGAUCGCGAUACGUAAUCUCUGAGCGCACAGAGGCAACCGAAUCGAGUAAUGUGCAUACCAUGAGAUUCGAAUGGAAGAAUUAAGAUGAAAAAAAUACACGACUUGCCACCUGCAUAUUAUCCUUGAUAAACGGGCUGUCUAAUUUUAGCAUGAUCGUAGGAUAAUGGGAAUGAGAUUUGACAUAAUGAUUGUUUACUCAAUAGCGUAGAGUUUAGAAAAUAUGUAGAACAAAAUGAGGAAAUGAAGAUCGAGCUGAUUUCACAGGUAGUGAAGCUUUCUGUGGUUUUAGAAUAGCGUAAAGUAUAGAAGAUCGUAAAACGUAUCUUCCUUUUAAUGAGCCACUACUAUUCAACCAUCUUUCUCACGUAUGAAGAAUUCACAAUACUUUAUUGUUCAGCCUCUGAAGACGACAGACUUUUGCCUCCUUCUAAUAGUCGCUACAACAUUAAAAUAUCUUCCGGUGUGAUUGUAACUGAUCGUAACUGCCAGGCUAUUGCAUUAACAUCUGUCAUUUAUGAAGGUGUUCAAGAGGAAAGUCACAGUUGAUGCGUAAUUUCGGUAUAGUGUCUAAACAUUGCACUACGUACCAACGAAGUUCUUCUAUGCUUCUUCAUUUUAGUCGCCCUUUUUCAAGCCUUGGGGGACAUAUUCUCACGAAAUCCGGUUCUACUGGUUUGGUGUUAGAUACGAAGGUUGUCACGUUCUCAAAGGAGAUGAUAUUUAUUACUUCAAAUUGGUUACAAAAUACGCCAUAACUCUCGCAUAAUUUAUGACUGUACCGAUGGUGUUGACGACGCAUCCCGUGAAUACAUCUCUCUCAUAUAAUAUUAUACAUACGAGAGCAAUACGAGAGACCAGGUGUAUUUAAAUAUUCAUAUGCAAUGUAUCACGAAUCAUACAUCAGUUUGCGGCUACGAGCAUUACAAACGCCGAGUCUACGCAACAUAUACAGAGUGACUUUUUAAUAAAAUCAUUGAUUACCUCCCUUUUAUUAAUAUGUGCAAUGCUUAUGACUUAUGUGAAACAAAAAAUGAUUUAAAUGAAUAUGAUGUCUGCCGCGAAUUUAAAAAAUAUCACUUUUAAAAAAGCCAAAGUAUUCAACAAGUAAAAGAAGUUCUUUGAAAUUGUAACAAUGCAUAGCUAGUAUCGGGAGAUAAAUGUUUCACUCUGUAUGCAAAAAUAUCAUGUAGCCAAACACCAUCUCCUGCACAACAGGUUGUUAAUUCCUCUCUGUAAGAUCCACGGCGGUGGGCUUCAUUAAAAAUUGAACUGGUCAGAAUAUCAGAGAGAAGAAUAAAUUUAAUACGUAUGAGCCAUUAAUUAGCGGUCCAAUUGCUGAUAUUCUUAUUAUACAAGGAGGGCGUAACGUACGUAGAAUGUGCUUCCAAAAAAAACCUUCGUAACUACAUCGAUUUGUUUGCUACGUUUGUAUGGGAAAUAAAAACUAACAACAUUAUACGCGCGAAACCUAUAUAGUACGUUUAAAUAUGGUAAAGUGCAAUCAUAUAUUUACAUAAAAAUGUCCAUAAUUCAUAUAUACCUGAAAGGCUAAAGAAUACAAGCAGAAACCGAGAAUAACAAGCCAGAGUCCAAAGACAUCGCCAGGACCAGUCUUGGAUCGAGCAACAACUCUAUAUCCUCACUGGAAUAAACUAUGCUUACUAUAAGAAUCAGCGAAAAAAUAAGAAGAUACUACGCUUAGACAAAUCGAACGAUCCCGCUAAUAUCAAUCACUACGUCGAAAAAGUUCAAUAGCACUAGUUUUGCACCGAACGAUCUUAACUUAUUCUAAAUCCCACAAAUCUAUCUACAUUCGUCUUGGGACAAGGAAUAGCCCAAUGGAACUCGUUCUGGGUUACAGAAUCCUAUCUACGUCUAAACGACAAUUCGAACUUUAAUGAUUUAUUUGCAACAAUUGCGUCGAGUAGUAAUUCGGAAACUAAAUUUGAGGAUUGUAUAGAUAUGUUAAAUCAAUUUGAAAGGAAUUCUCUUCGUGAAGGACUAGAGAGAGGAGAACAUGGCAAGAAAAACAAUUAACUCUACACAAACACAUUUAUAGCUGCCGGGUUUCGCGAGCAAUGAACUCAUGGGAAACAUUAAAAUAUCUUCGGAAAAAAAGGAGACACAUAUUUUGCUUACUCCAACGCUAUAUUUAUUUUAAACGUACAGCUUUAAAAUACAAAAUAAAUGUUUGCUUAAACAAGAGAUACGUAACUGUCAAAUGGAAUUUCUGCCUUCUUCUAUUGACGCAUGUUUAUUAAAACUUAAGGAUCACCCUUUCUUAUGCUAAUCCUGUGCUUCCUCCGUAUCUCAGCUCAUUGUAUGUAUAUUGAAACUACAUUUAUAUAAGUAUGUAAUGUGUAAAGAUUAAAGGCAUAUCAAUACAGGUAAUACAAUUAUUGGACGAACAAAUAUUGAAUUAAUUAUUAUUAAGUAUUCAAAUUAAUAAAAAGUUAGUUUAAUAUUAAUAAAAAGUUUAUCAAAGUAAAAUGUUAGUAAAUUUUUUUUGGAAAAAAUGUUAAUACAGGCACAUACGUAUAUCUAGGAAAUAAUAUCUUUGACAAAGAAUUCGUGAACAAUGUGCAAUAGACUUCUGUAUCAUACACAUAGCUCGAGGAAUUUUUUAAAAGAAUUUUUCUAGGCACGCACAAUGUACACCAGAUCGGACAGAAAACAAGAAAUGGAAUACGCAGUCUUUUUCCCCGAGGACGAUCUAGAUUACAGAAUAAACCGCGCAUUACGAAGGGGACCGCAUUUCCUCAGGUUAUCUGUGUAUACAUUUGGUACAAACAGAGAAGAAAUUUCUUCUCUGGUACAAGACAAGAUUUCCAUACGACUUUAUUACAAAAACGUCUAUUUGGGUGAUCUUAUACAGUAUUAUGUUUCUUUGCAAUGAUGUCACAGAAAAAAAUACUAAAUAAAAGUACAAAGAUAGUUUAUUAUUAAUAUAAAGAACUAGAAAAAAUAAACAUAUAUUUAUAUGAUCCUUUAAUUUCAUUAGCUGCAAAAUUUUAUUUACACAGUCAUAAAAUCCCGCCACGACACGCUAUCAUCAUUUUACCAAUUUGAAAUUUUCGCACGGCACCA